rnacentral:rRNA from 1 species
CCUACGGUGGUCUGCAGUGAGGAAUAUUGGUCAAUGGUCGGGAGACUGAACCAGCCAAGCCGCGUGAGGGAGGAAGGUACAGAGUAUCGUCAACCUCUUUUGUCAGGGAACAAAGACUGGGACGCGUCCCCGGAUGAGUGUACCUGAAGAAAAAGCAUCGGCUAACUCCGUGCCAGCAGCCGCGGUAAUACGGAGGAGGCGAGCGUUAUCCGGAUUUAUUGGGUUAAAGGGGGGAGCAGGCGGCUUGUUAUGUCAGCGGUAAACGCCGGGGGCCACACCCCGGCCGGCAGUUGAAACUGGCAGUAUCGAGUUGGAGAGAGGUAUGCGGAAUGCGCGGUGUAGCGGUGAAAUGCAUAGAUAGCGCGCAGAACUCCGAUUGCGAAGGCAGCAUGCCGGCUCCACACUGACGCUGAGGCACGAAAGCGUGGGUAUCGAACAGGAUUAGAUACCCCAGUAGUC